AAUUAUGCUACUACUGAAAAAGAAUUCUUAGCGGUUGUAUUUGCUUGUGAUAAGUUCAGACCUUAUAUUGUUGAUUCUAAAGUAACUAUUCACACUGAUCAUGCUGCUAUUAAAUAUCUUAUGGAAAAGAAAGAUGCUAAACCUAGACUUAUUAGAUGGGUUCUCUUGCUACAAGAAUUUGAUUUUCAUAUUGUUGAUAGAAAGGGAGCUGAGAACCCCGUUGCAGACAACUUGUCUAGGUUAGAAAAUGUGCUUGAUGACCCACUUCCUAUUGAUGAUAGCUUUCUUGAUGAGCAACUAAAUGUCAUAAAUGCUUCUCAUACUGCUCCAUGGUAUGCUGAUUAUGCUAAUUACAUUGUUGCUAAGUUUAUACCACCUAGUUUCACAUACCAGCAAAAGAAAAAGUUCUUCUAUGAUUUGAGGCAUUACUUUUGGGAUGACCCACAUCUUUAUAAAGAAGGAGUAGAUGGUGUUAUUAGAUGUUGUGUACCUGAGCAUGAAUAG
rnacentral:rRNA from 1 species